CAGGGCAGAGCUCCUGGAAGCCACUGCCGCCAUGGACUGGGCUCCCUUCUACCUCCUGCCCCUGGUUUUCUCCACAGGUCUCUGUGCUGAUCCUGUGCUGACCCAGCCCCCGUCUGCUUCUGCCUCCCCGGAAGCCUCAGUCAAGCUCACCUGCACCCUGAGCAGUGAGCACAGCAGCAACUGGAUUCGUUGGUAUCAGCAGCAGCCAGGGAAGGCCCCUCGCUAUUUGAUGUAUGUUAGCAGUGGCGGAAGCCAGAGCAAGGGGGACGGGGUCCCCGACCGCUUCUCGGGCUCCAGCUCUGGGGCGGACCGCUACUUAACCAUCUCCAACCUCCAGCCUGAGGACGAGGCUGACUAUUACUGUCAGACAUGGAGCAGCAGUUAUAAUGCUCACAGUGACACAGGCAGACGGGGAAGUGACACAAAAAGUCCAACCCCAUCUGUGUCACGCUCUACUGCAGCACAAAUAGAACUGGAGAUGAAGCCAGGGGCAGCUCUGGCCCCGGUCCCCACACCUCAGAUCCUCAGGCUGUGCCUCCCUGCUCAGGUGGCUCCACAGGGGCUGGGACAGCAGUGGAUUCAGUGUCCCAGGACAGGGCCCACCUGGUGUUUCCUGGGCCUGCGUGGGAGUUGGAGACAGAGGGCAUGA